UCUCUCUGAUGUCUCAAUAGGUCUUCCUUACCCUUACCCCUCAGUAGAAUAGAAGGGAAGAGACCUAUGGCUGAGAGA